rnacentral:lncRNA from 1 species
GCAACGGCUUCUGCGGCGGGUGGUGCCCGACUGAACGGAAAAACCGUCGCUGGCGCCCUGGGCGGCCGUUAAGUGCCGCCCCUGCCGGCUGGCCGCCUUUCCCUCCUUCCCCGCCAGGGGGCGCUAGGCUGGAGGCUUGAGACCCUUGGAAGGCCCCGUAAGCCCCGCGCCAGCCUGCCUUCCAGCAUUCCUGAGCAAAGACCUUUACGUGGCUCGUUCUCUAGACUCCCUGAGAAACUUCUGGGUGAAGGGAACCAAAGCCAAGCCACUGGCAACUGACCUUCAGGGAACUGACUCCCGGACAGGUGGAGACUGAAUUCCCUCUGCUCUUCUUCCUCUGGAACUGGGUGCCCACACCGUGUCCACAGCCUCAUAUCUCCAAAGCCACUGCUGGGGUUGGGAUGGUGCAAGGUAAGUGGAAAGGCCUCAAGGCUC